AAUCCAUAGGUUAAUGAGGCGAACCGGGGGAACUGAAACAUCUAAGUACCCCGAGGAAAAGAAAUCAACCGAGAUUCCCCCAGUAGCGGCGAGCGAACGGGGAGGAGCCCAGAGCCUGAAUCAGCAUGUGUGUUAGUGGAAGCGUCUGGAAAGGCGCGCGAUACAGGGUGACAGCCCCGUACACAAAAGCGCAUGUGCUGUGAGCUCGAUGAGUAGGGCGGGACACGUGGUAUCCUGUCUGAAUAUGGGGGGACCAUCCUCCAAGGCUAAAUACUCCUGACUGACCGAUAGUGAACCAGUACCGUGAGGGAAAGGCGAAAAGAACCCCGGCGAGGGGAGUGAAAAAGAACCUGAAACCGUGUACGUACAAGCAGUGGGAGCACCCUUCGGGGUGUGACUGCGUACCUUUUGUAUAAUGGGUCAGCGACUUAUAUUCUGUAGCAAGGUUAACCGAAUAGGGGAGCCGGAGGGAAACCGAGUCUUAAUUGGGCGUUAAGUUGCAGGGUAUAGACCCGAAACCCGGUGAUCUAGCCAUGGGCAGGUUGAAGGUUGGGUAACACUAACUGGAGGACCGAACCGACUAAUGUUGAAAAAUUAGCGGAUGACCUGUGGCUGGGGGUGAAAGGCCAAUCAAACCGGGAGAUAGCUGGUUCUCCCCGAAAGCUAUUUAGGUAGCGCCUCGUGAACUCAUCU
rnacentral:rRNA from 1 species